GAUUUCUUGCCCGAUGACUUGAAGAUGCAGUUCCAUCCAGGCUUGCAUACUCCAAAGGUUUGUGCUUGUUGAUAAAGAGGCUUGUUGAAUUUUUGAUUUCCACUUGUCCCUUUUUUUGUUUUUUUAUAACACAGGUGUAUAUGUGCGUGUGUCUAGUUUCAGUGACAACUGCCUCAACAGGCUCACCAAAUACUU